UACGUAGGGGGCAAGCGUUGUCCGGAAUCAUUGGGCGUAAAGAGCGUGUAGGCGGCCUGUUAAGUCUUGCGUGAAAUCUCGGGGCUCAACCCCGAGCGGUCGUGAGAAACUGGCAGGCUAGAGUGCGGGAGAGGAGAGUGGAAUUCCUGGUGUAGCGGUGAAAUGCGUAGAUAUCAGGAGGAACACCGGUGGUGUAGACGGCUUUCUGGACCGUAACUGACGCUGAGACACGAAAGCGUGGGUAGCAAACAGG
rnacentral:rRNA from 1 species